UUGUUGCAGUUAAAAAGCUCGUAGUUGGAUUUCUGGUCGGAGCGAUCGGUCCGCCUCAUUCGGGGUGUGUACUUGUGUCGUCUCCAGCCAUCCUUGAGGAGAACUGUUCUGGCAUUGAGUUGUUGGGGCAGGGAACCUCAUCUUUUACUGUGAAAAAAUUAGAGUGUUUAAAGCAGGCUUACGCCGUUGAAUACAUUAGCAUGGAAUAAUAAGAUAGGACUUUGGCGGUCUAUUUUGUUGGUUUGCACGCCGAGGUAAUGAUUAAUAGGGAUAGUUGGGGGUAUUCGUAUUUAAUUGUCAGAGGUGAAAUUCUUGGAUUUCUGAAAGACGAACUACUGCGAAAGCAUUUACCAAGGAUGUUUUCAUUAAUCAAGAACGAAAGUUAGGGGAUCGAAGAUGAUUAGAUACCAUCGUAGUCUUAACCAUAAACUAUGCCGACUCGGGAUUGGCGGGCGUUCUCUUUAUGACUCCGUCAGCACCGUAUGAGAAAUCAAAGUCUUUGGGUUCCGGGGGGAGUAUGGUCGCAAGGCUGAAACUUAAAGGAAUUGACGGAAGGGCACCACCAGGAGUGGAGCCUGCGGCUUAAUUUGACUCAACACGGGGAAACUUACCAGGUCCAGACAUAGUGAGGA
rnacentral:rRNA from 1 species